rnacentral:rRNA from 1 species
CGCGUGAGGAACCUGCCUCAAAGAGGGGGACAACAGUUGGAAACGACUGCUAAUACCGCAUAAGCCCACAGGUCGGCAUCGACCAGAGGGAAAAGGAGCAAUCCGCUUUGAGAUGGCCUCGCGUCCGAUUAGCUAGUUGGUGAGGUAAUGGCCCACCAAGGCAACGAUCGGUAGCCGGACUGAGAGGUUGAACGGCCACAUUGGGACUGAGACACGGCCCAG